AGUGCAGCCUGAAGAGCCAGGAGUACUCAGGUUUUCUUUCACAGGCAGGAGGGAUAUCUGUUCUACUCUGAAAAGUCUCCCUGCUAUGAUCCUGAGGAUCCAUCCAGUGUUCUGGAUGUAGCAUCAUAUCUGAAAUCAAGCAAUGUGCAAAGAUACAGAAACCAUUGUGCCAAUUAACUCCUGAAUCUUCUUAGGAAUCAAGACUGUCUUCUUAGUGCAGACGCUGGGGAGCUGAUAAGCAAAAAAAAAUCCGGUGGAAAGUCAAAGAAGAUGAUUUUGGAGAAGCGGCAUCACCUGCGGUAAGUGAGGAGCAAUGUUGGGG
rnacentral:lncRNA from 1 species